CGCAAUUUCCUAAUAGCCAUCGCUGGGAUCCUGGUGUCCUAAAAAUAAAGAACGCGUAUGUGGAUUGAACAUGCUUGUGGCAAACCUGUGCGCGGUGCACGCAGCUACGACGUAUGUGGAUUGGCGAUUUUGAAAAGGGAUGUUCAGUUCUUAGUUCUGAGAGGGCUGUACACUCAUUUUGGAGGACGAUAUGACUGUGCAAGAUAUAUAAUUACUGGUCGGGUUUUCGAAUAUGUAACAAGAAGAGUCUGAUCGUAAUGCCAGGCCAGUGGGUGAUUCUCUAAACGCUCUAAUCUCUCCCAAGCAAGGAUUCCAUUAUGUAUCUGCGUGUAGUUUCACCAAACCGAUAUUUUCAAAUGCAUUAUGGAUUUAUGGAACAUUAUUCACCUAUUACUUAAUUUUGUGAACGUUUUCGGAGGGCUGCGUGGCUGAACUAACGACAUUUGGGGCAAAGAAGCUACGUAGCAGUUUUUUUUUAAAUGUUACAGUAUUUUAACAAUGAGAGCAGCAACGGCACCUCCCAUGAGAAAUCUGCAUGCACAAACAGCAUGGAGACCUACCGUGGCACAGCCUCGGUAUGCUGCCAGCCUGGUGUCACCUGAACGGACAUUAGAGAUGUGAACCUGCAGUUGGCAUCAUGGUCAGGGCUUUGCAGCAACAGCGGGGAGAAUGGAGUGUGGGAAAGGGCGGCGGUCUGGUCGGCGGGAGCGUGCAGUUGUCCAGGUAAGGAUGUGUGUCUGUGUGGAUGUCUAUGCAUUUAUACAAACAGUAUGCCGGUGCUGUGCAUCUGUGUUUGUGUUUGCCGGUGUAUGUCUGUGUGUUUGUCUGUAUGUUUGUGUUUGUGUGUUUGUAUGUGCCUGUCUCUGUGUUUUGCGUUUGAUUGCACAGCUCCAGUGGUGAGGUCCCUAGCUCUCUCCCUUCACUGUCUGUCUGUCACUGAGAGGAUCACAGCUCCAGUGGUGAGGUCCCUAGCUCUCUCCCUUCACCGUCUGUCUGUCACUGAGAGGAUCACAG